AAUUACAGUGUUAUGUUUGGCCUAGGUAUAAAAGGUCUUGGGUUGAUUGACGCAAGCAUUCCCUCUCUGUUUCUCUCUUCGUUGUAAGCUGUCGUCUGCGCAUCUAGAGAUUCUUGGGUGUGUGGCUGAUUUGGGUGAAGAGAAGGAGGGUGAUUUUGGAGGAAACGGGAGAGGAGUUUCUACAUGACUGAAGGGAAGGAGAGGGAUGAUGAGGUAUUAGGGUGAUUAGCGUGAUCUUCUCUGUUUCUUUCUGUGUUCAUUCUUGGGUGGUCUUUUCGGAUCUACAGAUUCUUCCGUGUGUGAUUGAUUUGGGGUAGGAGAGGCAGAGUGUUUGUGGAGGAAAUGGAAGAAGAAUUGACAUCAAAAGAUUAACGGCAACAGAGCCUUCUAUUACAGCCAAUGGGCGCUGCUUCAAGCUUCUAUACUCAAAGCAUCUGUUAGCAGAAUAUCAGAAGAGAUCAGAGACCAGAGCUUCUCCCUCUUGCACACCUGUCUUGUCUUUCAAGAUCAACCAAGAAGCUCAGAUUCUAUUACCAAAUUUAACCUUCAUUGAAGAGGAGCAGAUAUCCAUCUUUUGCUGUUUCACAGUAUCAGGUUGGGCCGAAAGUAAAUAGGAAAGGUUUGUUUUACGCAUUGU